UAGGGAAUAUUGCGCAAUGGACGAAAGUCUGACGCAGCAACUCCGCGUGAAGGAUGAAGGUUCUCGGAUCGUAAACUUCUUUUAUUUGGGAAGAAAUGCUAUGAUAGGAAAUGAUUGUAGUUUGACGGUACCUUAUGAAUAAGCUCCGGCUAAAUACGUGCCAGCAGCCGCGGUAAUACGUAUGGAGCGAGCGUUACUCGGAAUCACUGGGCGUAAAGAGUUCGUAGGCGGAUUCGUAAGUCAGAGGUGAAAUUUUGGGGCUUAACCCCGAAACUGCCUUUGAAACUGCGAAUCUUGAGUAUGUGAGGGGAUGAUGGAAUUUCUGGUGUAGCGGUGGAAUGCGUAGAUAUCAGGAAGAACACCGGUGGCGAAGGCGGUCAUCUGGCACAAUACUGACGCUGAGGAACGAAAGCGUGGGGAGCAAACAGG
rnacentral:rRNA from 1 species